GUGACUACCAUUUGCACCUGGGGAUUGUCUAUCCAUUAUAUACAUCAGCCUUACCCGUGCAGUGCCUGUGUGACAAACCUUGAUGGCCCAGAUGAGAAAGAGGAAUUCGGCCAUUAUGUUAUAGUUUUAACUACAAUGGAGCUACAGAGAUAGGGGCGGUAACCAGAGCGCUUCGUGGUGUGUUGGAAUUAGCUUUCAGAAUGGAGCUAUUAGGGGAAGCUUGGAUAUUGAUGGGAAUGUGCCAAUAUUGGUCUUAGUCCAUCUUGUACUGCUAUAACAAAAUACCACAGACUGGAUAAAUUGUAAACAAUUUUAUUUGGCCCACAAUUUUAGAGGCUGAGUAGUCCAACAGUAUUGUCCAGCUGUUUUAUUACAGUGUGGAAGGGAUAAGAGAGCAUUCAAGAGACACAAAGAAGGAAGAUUGGUCUUCAUUUUUUUUUUUUAAAUCAAGAACUCCCAAGAUACCAGUAGUAAUCCGCAUAUAAAGGUGGAGUGUUCAAGUCUUGUGCACUUUUCUUAAAGGCACCAGCCAGCACUUAAUAAUACUAAAAUGGCAGUUAAAUUUUAACGUGAAUUUUGGAGAGGCUUUUCAAACCUUAGCAGACCAUUACACAGGUAGAUAAAGUAAGAGAAGAUAAAUAGACUGCUUUAGGGCAAUGUCUCCUUCAUUGUCCUUGGAGAGAAAGAGGAAAGGAUAAAGAAUGGGGACAGAUACCUGGAUGUUUCCGGUGGGGGAAAAAAAGUUCCCGUUAUUUUCUCAUGUUUUCUACCUGCCAUCAAGUGAAGUCUGGUUACCUGCUGAUGGGUGGCAGGUGUUUUUAGAACCUAAGGAUAACCUGAGAGCACUGAUUGAGAAGACAGUAUUGUGAAAUAUUCAGGGCCCAUCAGCUUAGAGACCACUUUUUGAGCCAAGACAAUUUUCCUACUACAAUCGCCAGCCUCAAACAGCCUUCACCCAAACAUGCCAUCAAACCUUUGCUAUACUGGCCUUUGUCCAAAAUGAUUUUGAUCUUAAGUCUGUCCUAUUCAGGAAUUCCCCUUACUGAACUUAUUCAUAAUUAAAUAAAAUUCCAAGAAAUUUAGAGGCAAAAAAAUAUGUUGAAAUGUUUCACAUAACCAUUAUUCACUACCAAACUACAUUUAUCUACAGGUAUCUACACAGCUUUCAUCCCACGGCCUGCAUGUAAGAGGCUCUUACAGGGCCCCAGAGCUCCAUUGGCCAUAAACUGAGGAAAGAAGAGCCACCCCGGAUGUGGGUGACACCAACCAAUAGACUUAUAACUUGAACAGAAUAAAAAAGAAAAGAAGAAGGAAAUCUUCCCUUUGAGGAAGCUCCCAGUCUUCACCACUGCCUCUGGACAUUGGUCUCCAGUUCUUUCAGG
ensembl:lncRNA